GUCCGCAGGCGGUCUUUCAAGUUUGGGGUGACAGUGCUCGGCUCAACUGAGCAAGUGCUUCGAAAACUGGAAGACUUGAGGGCUUCAGAGGAAGGCGGAAUUCCGGGUGGAGUGGUGAAAUGCGUAGAUAUCCGGAGGAACACCGAUGGCGUAGGCAGCCUUCUGGGAAGCAACUGACGCUCAGGGACGAAAGCCAGGGGAGCGAACGGGAUUAGAUACCCCGGUAGUCCUGGCUGUAAACGAUGACCACUAGACGUGGGGGGUAUCGACCCCUUCUGUGUCGAAGCAAACGCAUUAAGUGGUCCGCCUGGGGAGUACGGUCGCAAGAUUAAAACUCAAAGGAAUUGACGGGGACCCGCACAAGCAGCGGAGCGUGUGGUUUAAUUCGAUGCAACGCGAAGAACCUUACCAGGGUUUGACAUGCAAUCGCACCAUCUGUAAUGGGAUGUACCCGCAAGGGACGGUUGCACAGGUGCUGCAUGGCUGUCGUCAGCUCGUGUCGUGAGAUGUUGGGUUCAGUCCCGCAACGAGCGCAACCCCUAUCGUUGGUU
rnacentral:rRNA from 1 species